rnacentral:rRNA from 1 species
UACAGAGGGGGCAAGCGUUGUUCGGAAUUACUGGGCGUAAAGGGCUCGUAGGCGGUCUGUCGCGUCUGGUGUGAAAAUCCAGGGCUUAACCCUGGACCUGCAUCGGGUACGGGCAGACUAGAGUGCGGUAGGGGAGAUCGGAAUUCCUGGUGUAGCGGUGAAAUGCGCAGAUAUCAGGAGGAACACCAGUGGCGAAGGCGGAUCUCUGGGCCGUAACUUACGCUGAGGAGCGAAAGCAUGGGGAGAGAACAGG